UAAUUUACUUCCGGUUUCGUUUUUUAUCCUCCGACCAUUGUUGACUUACCACUGUUGCUUCGGCGGCCUCGCCCCGGGCGCGUUCGCGCGGCCCGGACCCAGGCGUCCGCCGGAGGCUCCAAACUCUUGUCUUUUAGUGUAUUUCUGAGUGGCAUAAGCAAAUAAAUCAAAACUUUCAGCAACGGAUCUCUUGGUUCUGGCAUCGAUGAAGAACGCAGCAAAAUGCGAUAAGUAAUGUGAAUUGCAGAAUUCAGUGAAUCAUCGAAUCUUUGAACGCACAUUGCGCCCGCCAGUAUUCUGGCGGGCAUGCCUGUCUGAGCGUCAUUUCAACCCUCAGGACCCGUUCGCGGGACCUGGCGUUGGGGAUCAGCCUGCCCCUGGCGGCGGCUGGCCCUGAAAUCCAGUGGCGGUUCCCUCGCGAACUCCUCCGUGCAGUAAUUAAACCUCUCGCGGCAGGAUAGCGGUUGAACCACGCCGUUAAACCCCCCACUUCUCAAGGUUACCUCAGAUGAGAGAAUCUAUGUUUUUUCCUUUUUGA
rnacentral:rRNA from 1 species